CGACGAGUUUGAUCAUGGCUCAGGAUGAACGCUAGCGGAAGGCCUAAUACAUGCAAGUCGAACGGGCAUAUUGAUUUCGGUUGAUAUGUUAGUGGCGCACGGGUGAGUAACGCGUACACAACCUGCCUUAUAUUGGGGGAUAGCCCUGGGAAACUGGGAGUAAUACCGCAUAAUAUUAUUGAGAGGCAUCUUUUGAUAAUUAAAGCUGAGGCGAUAUAAGAUGGGUGUGCGUCUGAUUAGGUAGUUGGUAGGGUAACGGCCUACCAAGCCGACGAUCAGUAGGGGGUGUGAGAGCAUGGCCCCCCCACACGGGUACUGAGACACGGACCCGACUCCUACGGGAGGCAGCAGUGAGGAAUAUUGCGCAAUGGGCGAAAGCCUGACGCAGCGACGCCGCGUGGGGGAUGAAGGUUUUCGGAUUGUAAACCCCUUUCAUGAGGAAAGAUAAAGUGGGUAACCACUUAGACGGUACCUCAAGAAGAAGCCACGGCUAACUUCGUG
rnacentral:rRNA from 1 species